rnacentral:ncRNA from 1 species
ACACAAGCGAUGACAAGGAAUAGUAAUCCCGGAAUCUGUUUCAGAGAGCAGCCGGUCGGUGCGAGGCUGUACAGUACCCCUGAUGAACUCGCCUCCAAGCUGCAUUCUUGAACUGACAGUAGAGGAUGACGGUUCCCACCGUUAUAUGGGUAUUGCAUGAUAGUGCAGAUGAGAGCAUGUUUUUACAUGAAGUAGAGUGGUACCGCGAAGAAUUUUAUCUUCGUCUCUACA